rnacentral:SRP_RNA from 1 species
UCGAUGGGUUCGGAUGACGACAUGAUUCGAAUCUGGUCAGGUCCGGAAGGAAGCAGCCAUAAGGAGCCUCUGUCGGGCAUCCGAAUCCAUCGAGCG